rnacentral:misc_RNA from 1 species
CUGCAGGGUUGUACAGCUGCUUGCUGU